UUUUGGAGUGGUACCGUGAGGGCUUGGUCCAAAGCAGACAAUAUCUUACCAAGUGUGGAGAUCUAUGUGUGUGUCGAACCUCCCCAAUAGUAGAAUUUUUAAGGUUUAAACCCUCAUUUGGUCUUUGUAUUUGUGUGCCAAUCUCAAGUGGGUCCUCGUUUUUUUUUUCGGUCUCAAUCGGAUCCAAAAUCUUGUAAAAAUAAGCCAAUUAAACCUUCUCCGUUAAGUUAUCAUUGAC
rnacentral:lncRNA from 1 species